GGGUUCUUAGUGUAGGGGUUAACAUCUGGGCUUUCCAUGCCCAGGCCGGGGGUUCGAGUCCCCCAGGACUCA
rnacentral:tRNA from 1 species